GACGAACGCUGGCGGCGUGCUUAACACAUGCAGGUCGAACGGUAAGGCCUUUCGGGGUACCCGAGUGGCGAACGGGUGAGUAACACGUGGGUGAUCUGCCCUGCACUUCGGGAUAAGCCCGGGAAACUGGGUCUAAUACCGGAUAGGACUGCGCGGUGCAUGCCGUGUGGUGGAAAGAUUUAUCGGUGCAGGAUGGGCCCGCGGCCUAUCAGCUUGUUGGUGGGGUAAUGGCCUACCAAGGCGACGACGGGUAGCCGGCCUGAGAGGGCGACCGGCCACACUGGGACUGAGACACGGCCCAGACUCCUACGGGAGGCAGCAGUGGGGAAUAUUGCACAAUGGGCGCAAGCCUGAUGCGGCGACGCCGCGUGAGGGAUGACGGCCUUCGGGUUGUAAACCUCUUUCAGCAGGGACGAAGCGUGAGUGACGGUACCUGCAGAAGAAGCACCGGCCAACUACGUG
rnacentral:rRNA from 1 species